AACUGCCAGAGUGAGUGUGCACGUUAAUACAGGUGUGACCAGUCAGGAACUAGGAAACGGGUUAUUCAUUGGCUGCUGAGCGGGUUGAAAUCUGACACCACCAGUUUUUUUACAAAAAAAAACCUAACAAUAGUAAACUUAAUGUGCACAUAAGGAAACCGCUCACAGCUGUCAGUAAAUACGUUAAUAGCUUUUUUGCAAAUGUGUUUUUUGCUGUUAUACAACCAUCAACUGCUGUGAGAGUGGUCCAUAUUUGUUUGAAAUCCAUGUUAUUAGUCACUUUAUAUGCAUAUAUCCUGCUGUUGCGAUGUGUGAGCUUUUUGAAAUGUUUUGUACUACCGCUACAUAAAAAAGUAACAACAUUUUAUGAGCCUGUCCGUGACAAGUUGCAAAGUUUCUGAUUAUUUCCCCCCCACACAAUGAGCCAACAGCUAAUGUUACCCAUCAAGUACUGCAGCAACUGGUGUUUGGACCUCGGUGACUGUGACGGUUCUGGGAGGCAGAUUUGUGCAACACGUGUCACUUUCUGCUGACCAGCCCAAACCUAAUUGCCUGCCUUUGUCUGCUCCUCCUUCCUCAUUGUAGAAAACAUAUUCUCCUGGAACUUCAAAAAAUAACCUGUAACCUGGCUGCCUUUAAAAUCUACAGUUAGGACAGCUAAGAGGUUCAAGUUUAAUCGACAGGUGUUUAUUGACACUGACGAGACAUUUCAAGUCGUAUAAACGGUUAUGCACCUUAAAAUGAUUGUUAAGACAGCCAGUUACUUUCUUUAUUAAUCUUAAUUACAAUGUUAAGUUAAUUAGGAAGCGAAAUGAGUUCUAUCAACUAGAUAGAACUACUUUUUUUUUUUGCGGUGUUCUACCCAGACUGGUUAUGACCAGAGCCUCCUUGCAACCCACUACUAUCUCAUUGCUCCUAACGUCCACAACCAGACUGCUGUCAGCCAGACGGUGACCAUCAGCUCGGUGUGGACAUCAGUAGGUAUUAGAGAAGGGAAGUGCUUUUUGAAUCCAACGUGUGACCCAGGGGGGGUCUCCUUUAGUUGGCUGCAGGGCUGCUGCAGAGUGUUGACCACCAGAGCAUCCCCAGCCUCCCUGCCUCAGAGGUGAACACCCAAACAGCUAUAUGUGUAUUGGUAGGCUUCACCAGCUGCAAACACAUUGCUUGUGUGGAUUUGCUAGAAUCAAACCAAAAACAAGUUUUUAUUACACAUUAUAUCCCUCCCCUAGCUUCAGUGUCGCCAGUAAGGAGUGAAAGGUGGCAUCAUGAAGGUCAUCUCAGUUAUGACCUCAGAUAAAAUCCACAUUACUGGUGACAGUCCCUAUCGACUUGUUUACUUCACAUGCGGCGGUGUAUAAUGUCUCUCAUCUCUAACAGUACUUCCAUCUGGUGAUGGUAUCUGCCAGCCUGUACCUAUGUUGGAUUUAGGUGAUCGGAGACGGCAGGUACAUCACAAUUCUCAGACAGGAGAUUUAAAGUCCUGAUUUGUUUGCACCAACAGAGAUGUGGGACACUAUCUGAGUAACAUGAACACGCAACUUUAUCCAGCAUUUUGUGAGAAAAAUAUGAAUUGUUUGUGUUUGAGUACUUUGCAUUACGUUUUGAGUAUUUGAUGACUGUAUUCAUUCGUGUCAAAGUAACACAUGCUAUUUGUACUUCUCUUUUUUAUUUCAGUUGCAGCUGCGUAAGUGUCAAGUGUGUUAAUGGAAGUGUUGUUAUGGGGAGUGUACUGAACAAACUGGAAAUAAUCAUACACUUUUUAGAGCUGGCAAUUAACAUUGUUUUUUCUUGUAUUUAAACACAUAGGUUAAUGUACAGAAGAGUAACUUUCCACUCACUUGAAGGAAUAAAUCCCUGAAUUCUUUUCUGAGGUGCUCCAGAAACUGCUUUGGCCCCCGCAGCGCGACUGGAAGCAUCAUCUCCAGGCUGAAUCUCGCCCGGUUUUUAAACAGAAACAACCUUCACUCAUGCAGGCGAGCAUCAUUUGCAAAAUGAUAUCCGUUCAUAGUUGCAAGCCUGAAAAUGAAUAUCACAUGACUAUUCAUGCACGCUGGGGAUGUGGGUUCCGGUGUUGUUGUUGGUUGCAUGUUGGUUCCUUAGUUACAGAAACUACAACAGAGUACUACAGUAAGCUUUGAUCAUUAAAGGUGAUUGACCCUUAAAAUUUUCCUCUUUAAACUCAAACAGACAUAUUUGGAAAGUUUAUGUGGCGAUAUGUAGAGAAGUUUAAGAAUUUUGAUUUUUUUAAAUGGGCAAAAAAUACUGCAGGUGUUCUCUAUCUCCCUCUCACACACACACACACACACAAACACACACACACUCACACAUAAAAUGCACUAUUUUACAUCUUUCACUUGUUUCGCUGUCGGUUUUCUCACUUAUCAGCUGUGCUGGUGGUUAACCAUGACUUCAGCGCAGAGAAUGCCGCUGGACAUUCAGUUUUCAGUUUUCGAUGCUGUAAAAGUCCGGCGUAGCGAGAACCUCAGAAGGCCAAACGUACAUCCGCCCCACUGGUGCCUGUGACAUGAAUAACCACAAAAUGUCACCAGCCUUUUCCUGGGUUGUUUGUUUGCUCUGUGUUUUAAAGAACGGUUGGGUGACACAUAUUAACAGUGCCUCACUUUUCUUUGUAGAGCAACCGGGAGCUGGGGAGUGUUUCCACCAUGUUCUGCGAGUCAGCAUUUUCCCCCGAGCGAGAAAGCUGCACCCUUAACAACACUUGGGGCUGUGCAAAGAACGGUUUGCUCAGCUGGUUCUUCUGGGUUGGCUGACAGUUCCUCAAAGGCUAACUGUCGCUGAGCUGCAGCAUGCAUUGAUCUUGCAUUAUCAAAUUUUGUGUCACUUUACCUUUCUGACGUGGUUGUUAUGCAAAUUCACGCCAGUGUUUUCUCACUUCCCUGUGAUUUCACUGAAAGGAGGUUAAACUCCUGCCCCUUUUAAUAGUUAUUUUUGUUUUUUUUUAAUGCAAUGCUUAUCAAUCAUAGGUACCAAUGCACCUUGCAAUUCAUUGAUUACAGUUGUCCGUGUCUUUGUGUGUGCAGUUUUCUCCUCCCUACUGUUGACCAUUAUCCUCCUCUCCAACCAGCCAUUUUCUGUCCAAUAGUCAUUAUGAGUCCCGUGGCUCAACCUGCUCUACCACUUGGGUGGACCCAUAUUGUUUUAAGCGGCCUGCACCCUCUCACCCUGAGAGCAUAGACGUUAGUUUCACAAUCUUCUUGUUGACUUGAAUGAAUUCACUCUGAAGGUCACGCCACACAUAGUAGUUAUUUUUCAAUUCGAUCAAUUCACUUUAUUUGGCUUUGGCCUAAAUCACAAAUUUGCCCCAUAGGGCUUUUAAAAUCGUGCUGCCUUGUGCGGAUUUUCAAAUGCAAUUUUGGCCCCCCCUACAGGAUGAUGGUAUUCCCUUUCAUUAUAGCCCUACUGCACUGGUCUUCUCUUUGGUGCUGCACACUUACAUCUACACCAAUAUGGGCUUUGAAUUGAGUCCCAGCAAAAAGGGCAUAUUUGGAAGUAGUCCCUUAAACAAAUAUGCUAACACCGUGUGUGUGUGUGUGUGUGUGUUAAAUUCACACACUGUGUGUUAAAUUCAACGCGGAUCCAGCAUGACCUCACAGCAAAUAGUCCAAAGAAGGAUCUCAGACCCCAACAUCUUGUGAAAGCUUGAAGAAGUGGACAGAAUGCUCGGUGUGUGAAGGGCUGUCAGGAAGGGAGUUGUCAAAAAUGUUCAUCUGAGCGCCUGUCCCUCUUCUCUGACCCUUUAGGCUCGGGGAAGACUUUUUGAAGUCAAUGGACCAUUGACACAGCGUCAUGGAGAAGUGGACUCCUCCAGCUUCUACAAACAUGGCGUCAGUGACCUGUGUCUCCAUGGAGGUCUCCAGCCUGUACUGUGUCCCUCCCUGGCAGAGUAUCCUGCCUUUAUGCAUGCAGGAGGCCUGCAUUCUGCUAUUUGUCACUCUCUCCAAUAGGGGUUACAACAGGAGUUCUGAACAACAUGAGGUCCACCUCUGCCUCGGCUGGCGGAUUAACACAGCAGCGUCAGAGAGACCAGCCUCUGUGAAGCAGGUUUAGUUCACAGUGACGGCGUUGGGGUCUAUGCAGAAAACCGGGACCGCUUUCACAGUGGAGAAAACCUCGAGGCAGGAGACGAGGCGUCUGCAUGUGAGAAAAGCUGUUUGUGUCAUGCUGCGGCACACAUGACUUCCCGUAAUAACUCCUGUGGAAUAAGGAGUGGAAGCUUACUAGAGGAGUUCAAGGUUGCCACCCGGGACUCAAAGUGGCACACUGCUCUGUUGAUGGUUCCCAAAGCACCGCGUUUAAUGGACAGGCGUUUGAAUUUCAUGGUUCAUGUAACUACACCUUGGUGCAGAUGGGCCUCAAUAAAGUGGAUGCGGAGCCUGUCUUGAUAGCUGCACAGGGCGACCACAGUGAGGGCAGGCACAUCUACUUGCAAGUCAAUCAAAUGUUAAGACAUCAACAGCUUUUUCUGGAAAUAUUAAGGUAAUUAUUUCACAGCUUUCAGAAUGAUUGAUUAUUUUUCUCUUAGAAUGCAAUGUAAAAAAAAUAAAAUCACAGUGUACACAAACUGCUGGAUAGUCUCUAUAAUGUGUUUUUUUAACAUAAAUUAUUCCACUGAUGUAAAUGCCGUUUACGAAAACCUGCCAGAAAGAUGGAUGACUAAGCAUCAAGACCCCACAGUCCGUUGGGCUUAUAUCAGACCUGUGAAAGCACAUUCUGUUCAAGAUGUGUGGUCUUUGUGGGAACUACGAUGAUAAUCCCUCAGUUAACAUGCAGCUAUCCAAUGGCACCACGGCCUCUGAUCGUUAUGUUGUUGAGCCUCAUAUCAUGGAGGUUGUUAGAUAAUGAAACAUUGUGCAGCGACAAAUGUGACUUCAUUACAAUUUCAAUUAAUCAUGUGUGGAACGAUAUCAUCCUGCUUGGGACCGGCCGCGGAGCCGCGUCGUUGCGUAGAGGAUGAGAGAAGGUUUAAGCCGGGAAGUAAACAAACUGCUUUGUCGUUCAAAUCUAUCCAUCGCUCUAUUUCUGUUAGCAAAAUUCAUGUUACCUUUUCAGUAUGCACAUUCCCCCUAAAAAUACUGGGAUUUAUUUUCAUGUUGUUUCUAUUUCCAUGCCUCAGAGAGCAAACUACUGCAUAAGUGUACUGUUACCCGUACCUGCGGGUCUCCUCUUGCCUGCCGCACAGCACAGUUGUAGAGUUUCAGAUGGAAUCAUGGUUUGCCACAAAGAUGGUGAUUAUCUAAACGGAAUCUACGUUUUUUCAUGUUGUUGGAAGUAAAAUAACUGUAUUUUUCUUUUUAGCUGAGCAAAAUCCAGAUCCAGGUGAGGAGAGAUAUGAAAAUCUUGUCUGUGCUGUGCAGAUGGACUUGGGGAGGACAGCACUACCCACACUAAACUUAACCAUGGCUUAUAGGCAACAUGUGUCUGCUUGCAGUCAGCAAAGGGGCCCCGUUUGGUCUGACAUAGUGUGUCCUAGAAAAACAACCAUAAUGACGACACAGCUCCAUCUUACACUCAGGUCGUCAUUGUAUGUUAUGUGGUUAUCGUCCAGGAUAUAUGUAAGUAAAUGCCAGUCAUUGAUGAAGAAA